GAUUAACGCUGGCGGCGUGCCUAACACAUGCAAGUCGAGCGGCAGCGAGUUUUACACUGAAUUCUGGAAGCUUCUAGUUGAAAGAGAAGAUUUAUUCAAGAAUUUUGUGUAAAAUGUCGGCGAGCGGCGGACGGCUGAGUAACGCGUGGGAACGUACCCCAAAGUGAGGGAUAACGCAUCGAAAGGUGUGCUAAUACCGCAUAUGGUCUUCGGAUUAAAGCCUUCGGGCGCUUUGGGAACGGCCUGCGUAAGAUUAGAUAGUUAGUGGGGUAAUGGCCUACCAAGUCGACGAUCUUUAACUGGUUUGAGAGGAUGAUCAGUCAGACUGGAACUGAGACACGGUCCAGACUCCUACGGGAGGCAGCAGUGAGGAAUCUUCCACAAUGGGCGAAAGCCUGAUGGAGCAACGCCGCGUGCAGGAUGAAGGCCUUCGGGUUGUAAACUGCUUUUAUAAGUGAGGAUUAUGACAGUAACUUAUGAAUAAGGAUCGGCUAACUACGUG
rnacentral:rRNA from 1 species